rnacentral:rRNA from 1 species
GACGUAGGAGGCGAGCGUUGUCCGGAUUCAUUGGGCGUAAAGAGCACGCAGGCGGUUUGGCAAGUCGGAUGUGAAAACCCGGAGCUCAACUCCGGACCUGCAUCCGAAACUGCCCGACUAGAGGUAGGUAGGGGAGAUCGGAAUUCCUGGUGUAGCGGUGAAAUGCGCAGAUAUCAGGAGGAACACCGGUGGCGAAGGCGGAUCUCUGGGCCUUACUGAUCGACGCUC